GGUAACAACAUACAGAAUCACCGACUCAUAGACUCUUCAGGACCCAUACAACAGUAGUUUGAGUAGAGAAAGAGUGCAGUCCAGUGGAGUAAGCCUGGGAUUUCUCCUGAGACGAUCUGGAUUUGAAUCGUGCUUCUACCAUCUAACAACCCUGCACUGGCUUCCUUAUGGUUAAAGACAUCCACAUAUAUUACAAGGACUGACGUCUGUUUCUGAACAGUUUGGUUCCAGUUAUCUGCCCGCU